AUUGAACGCUGGCGGCAGGCCUAACACAUGCAAGUCGAACGGUAACAGGAAACAGCCUGCUGUUUCGCUGACGAGUGGCGGACGGGUGAGUAAUGUCUGGGAAACUGCCUGAUGGAGGGGGAUAACUACUGGAAACGGUAGCUAAUACCGCAUAACGUCGCAAGACCAAAGAGGGGGACCUUCGGGCCUCUUGCCAUCGGAUGUGCCCAGAUGGGAUUAGCUAGUAGGUGGGGUAACGGCUCACCUAGGCGACGAUCCCUAGCUGGUCUGAGAGGAUGACCAGCCACACUGGAACUGAGACACGGUCCAGACUCCUACGGGAGGCAGCAGUGGGGAAUAUUGCACAAUGGGCGCAAGCCUGAUGCAGCCAUGCCGCGUGUAUGAAGAAGGCCUUCGGGUUGUAAAGUACUUUCAGCGGGGAUGAAGGGAGUAAAGUUAAUACCUUUGCUCAUUGACGUUACCCGCAGAAGAAGCACCGGCUAACUCCGUG
rnacentral:rRNA from 1 species